CUUGUAUACAUAUUUUAUCAUUGUCGAUUCUUGGAAUAUCCCCUUACUUUAGAAAGACAUGCCUGUCCUCAGAAAAUGGUGGUGCACAGUACUGCUUGAGAACUUCCACCUGGAUGGGGACGGCAGAAGGUUCCCACACUUCAUGGAGGAGGCCAAACAAAUGGCGGCUGAACUACCUCCAACAGUCUUCAGACUGAAGUGAAAAAGAGAAGUGAAUGACGUUUCCAAUGACAGAAUACAAAUAAUAUAUUGUAUAGGCUUAAUAUUGAUUUGACUGUUUGAUUAUUUUGACAGUGAGUUGGAGCUGAUGGCAGUCAGCAUGAAGAAGCUAUAUCUUUAAGAUUCUGUAGAUUAUUUGUUAAAUAAAUUGUGAGGAAACUUUGGUGUGGUUAUUCGUCAAUGUAUAUUUAUAUCAAAUUAUGAUGGUAUACUUUACAAAAUAAUAAAUUUGAUUGACAUGUCAUAAUAUUGUUUUAUUCUAAUUUUUUGGUCUAAUAGGUUUAAUAACGCAAAGAAAAAAUCCUGAGGUAUUUGUCUUAAUAACGUUAAACCUUUUUUAAGCUCUAAAAAUGGUUACUAACGUGUCGAAAUAUUCUUUAUUUCUAUGUUAUGUUAAUUCAAGCGAUAAAUAAUUUAUUUGUCUAUAAAAAAAUUAAUCGGAGGUAACUUCCGUCCAGCCACAGUACUUCCGUCCCGCCUGGGUGUUCUGUCACGCCAGGGUGUUGUUCUCCGGGGCUGCAGCUGGAUACUAUUGGUUGUUCUCCGCUGGACCCUACUCAAAGAUCCCGCACGGAUGAGCCCCUUCCCACCUGCAGGACUUCAUUAUUCCGUUUCGUCCUCCUCGACCCCUCCGUCCAUCAACACCGUGUCUUCUUUCAAUCCCCCUUUAUCCAUAUCCAAAGCCGAAACUCAUUGCAAACAUUUUGUUCAUCCGUUUGUCCGAGGAAAUACAACACCAGCAACUCUCACGACCAGUGGCGGUGGGUCAAUAGGGGGCGCUAGGGCGCCGCCCCUCCGUGAAAUAUUCACUUGAAUAUAUCUGCCAACUAUUAAUAAACUAUUAUCAUUACGAAAUAAAAUCAACAAAAAUAAAUAGCGUUUAUCCUCGAUUAAUUGUGUGACAUGCUUGUCACUGCCAGCAACCAUUUAAAUGCGUCUGAACGUCAAUGUUUGGGCUGGGUUAGUUAUUGGUCAUUCAAAAUAAAGCCCUGCUCCUCCAAGUCAGGAGCGCCGGCCACGGUGAAGUCAAUGUAAGCUCGCUAACUUUUUGCUGUCUAUCAAGCAGAGACAGCUUUUCAUUGCCGCAAGAAAAUUCGCCCUCGGGUCGCACCAGUGUGCGCCCCAGGCCAAUUGGUAUCGCUUUUCUUUUUUGUUAUCACCACAUGAUUGGACAAUUCAGCGAAUCAAUCAAAUAGGCUACCUCCCUCAGCAGCAUUCGCGCAACACAACUACAUGUAGAGAGGAGAUAGACCGCUAACUAGCAGAGAGUUGUAAGCACUUUCUACCCUUUUCAGUGGAGGAAUUGGACUCCCCAAGCAAUGUUAUAAUUGAAAGGAGCAAGUAAGUUACAUAUUAAUUUAGUCUUUCGGCCUGCAUAUAAACAAAAUGAAGCAACUGUCCCAUAUUUCUAACUGCAUUUGAAGUAGACAUUGAGGGUGCACUCACACUAGGCCAUCUGGCCGUGGUCGUUUUCACACCUAACCGUGCUCAACUGGCCCCAUUGUUCUCUGGCCUGCACUCACGUGACACUAGGCCGUCUGGCCGUGGCCGUUGGCCGUCGCAACUGUGGCUUCUUCUUCCUUUAAUUUCCGGCAGGCUGUAUGCCUUUGCGGCACAUUGCUGCCAUCCAAAGGACAAAAAAUAAAAACAAAAACAAAA